rnacentral:rRNA from 1 species
GAUGAACGCUGGCGGCGUGCUUAACACAUGCCAGUCGAACGGAAAGGCUCCUGCUUGCAGGGGUACUCGAGUGGCGAACGGGUGAGUAACACGUGGGUGAUCUGCCCUGCACUUCGGGAUAAGCCUGGGAAACUGGGUCUAAUACCGGAUAGGACCACAUUUUGGAUGGUGUGGUGGAAAGUUUUUCGGUGUGGGAUGAGCUCGCGGCCUAUCAGCUUGUUGGUGGGGUAAUGGCCUACCAAGGCGUCGACGGGUAGCCGGCCUGGGAGGGUGUACGGCCACAUUGGGACUGAGAUACGGCCCAGACUCCUACGGGAGGCAGCAGUGGGGAAUAUUGCACAAUGGGCGCAAGCCUGAUGCAGCGACGCCGCGUGGGGGAUGACGGCCUUCGGGUUGUAAACUCCUUUCGCUAGGGACGAAGCGCAAGUGACGGUACCUGGAGAAGAAGCACCGGCUAACUACGUG